CCUACGAGAGGCAGCAGUGAGGAAUAUUGGUCAAUGGGCGCGAGCCUGAACCAGCCAAGUAGCGUGAAGGAUGAAUGCCCUACGGGUUGUAAACUUCUUUUAUAAAGGCAUAAAGUGAGGCACGUGUGCCUUUUUGUAUGUACUUUAUGAAUAAGGAUCGGCUAACUCCGUGCCAGCAGCCGCGGUAAUACGGAGGAUCCGAGCGUUAUCCGGAGUUAUUGGGUUUAAAGGGAGCGUAGAUGGGUUGUUAAGUCAGUUGUGAAAGUUUGCGGCUCAACCGUAAAAUUGCAAUUGAUACUGGCAGUCUUGAGUACAGUUGAGGUAGGCGGAAUUCGUGGUGUAGCGGUGAAAUGCUUAGAUAUCACGAAGAACUCCGAUUGCGAAGGCAGCUUACUAAACUGCCACUGACAUUGAUGCUCGAAAGUGUGGGUAUCAAACAGGAGUAGAUACCCGGGUAGUC
rnacentral:rRNA from 1 species